rnacentral:rRNA from 1 species
GAUGAACGCUAGCUACAGGCUUAACACAUGCAAGUCGAGGGGUAACGAGAGGAAAGCUUGCUUUCCUUGUCGACGACCGGCGCACGGGUGAGUAACGCGUAUCCAACCUGCCCCCAACUAGGGAAUAACCUUGCGAAAGUAAGACUAAUACCCUAUAAUUUCCUCAGAUGUCAUCUGACGAGGAAUAAAGAUUUAUCGGUUGUGGAUGGGGAUGCGUCUGAUUAGCUUGUUGGCGGGGUAACGGCCCACCAAGGCAACGAUCAGUAGGGGUUCUGAGGGGAAGGUCCCCCACAUUGGAACUGAGACACGGUCCAAACUCCUACGGGAGGCAGCAGUGAGGAAUAUUGGGCAAUGGGCGGAAGCCUGAACCAGCCAAGUAGCGUGCAGGAUGACGGCCCUAUGGGUUGUAAACUGCUUUUAUACAGGAAUAAAGUUAGCCACGUGUGGUUAUUUGUAGGUACUGUAUGAAUAAGGACCGGCUAAUUCCGUGCCAGCAGCCGCCGCAG